rnacentral:tRNA from 1 species
UUUAAUUUGAUAAUUAGUAUCUUACUAUAUAAUUUGUUUAUUGUUAUGAGAAAUAUCUUCUUAUUU